UGCAUGGUUUUGUUUGUUACGUAAGAAGCCUGAUACUCAUAUCAAAACUGCAAUUAACAAUGCAAUGAAGUCAGCAAACACAACUGCGGAUGGUACAAAUAAUCCAGCAACUCCUAAGUGGAUUGAAGUCAAGAGCCAUGUUCAAAGCGGAGGGUAUGAGUGUGGCUACUACGUGAUGCAUUGGAUGUGGAACAUCGUCAGUGGGGGUUUAAAGAAUGAUUGGAGCAUGGUAUGUUCGGUUUAACAUCUUCAAAUUACUAUUUUAGUAGUAUUUUCAUUCAUUU